rnacentral:rRNA from 1 species
CCCUUAGAUGUUCUGGGCUGCACGCGCGCUACACUGAUGCGAUCAACGAGUUUCUUCCUUUGUCGGUAGACAUGGGUAACCUUUUGAACUCGCAUCGUGAUGGGGAUAGAUUAUUGUAAUUAUUAAUCUUCAACGAGGAAUUCCUAGUAGGUGCAAAUCAUCAGUUUGCAUCGAUUACGUCCCUGCCCUUUGUACACACCGCCCGUCGCUGCUACCGAUUAGUUGAUCUGGUGAAUUAUUCGGACUGCCGGAUGAAGGGGUUUCCUCAUCUUCCAGCGGAAAGUCUUGUUAACCCUAUCAACUAGAGGAAGCAGAAGUCGUAACA